rnacentral:rRNA from 1 species
UCGGGAAUUUUGCGCAAUGGACGAAAGUCUGACGCAGCAACGCCGCGUGAGGGAUGAAGGCCUUCGGGUUGUAAACCUCUUUUGUCAGGGACGAUGAUGACGGUACCUGACGAAUAAGCCACGGCUAACUACGUGCCAGCAGCCGCGGUAAUACGUAGGUGGCAAGCGUUGUCCGGAUUUACUGGGCGUAAAGAGCGCGCAGGCGGUCGUUCAAGUCGCGUGUGAAAGCCCCCGGCUCAACUGGGGAGGGUCACGCGAUACUGAUCGACUCGAAGGCAGGAGAGGGUAGUGGAAUUCCCGGUGUAGUGGUGAAAUGCGUAGAUAUCGGGAGGAACACCAGUGGCGAAGGCGACUACCUGGCCUGUUUCUUGACGCUGAGGCGCGAAAGCUAGGGGAGCAAACGGGAUUAGAUACCCCGGUAGUCCUAGCCGUAAACGAUGGGCACUAGGUGUUGGUGGUAUCAACCCCGCCAGUGCCGAAGCUAACGCAUUAAGUGUCCCGCCUGGGGA